rnacentral:rRNA from 1 species
UACGGAGGAUCCAAGCGUUAUCCGGAAUUACUGGGCGUAAAGAGUUGCGUAGGUGGCAUUGUAAGCGGAUAGUGAAAGCGUGUGGCUCAACCAUACUCACAUUAUCUGAACUGCAAAGCUUGAGGGCGAGAGGGGUAACUAGAAUUCCUAGUGUAGGAGUGAAAUCCGUAGAUAUUAGGAGGAAUACCGAUGGCGUAGGCAGGUUACUGGCUCGUCCCUGACACUAAGGCACGAAAGCGUGGGUAGCAAACGGG